UCAUUACUGAGUUUACGCUCUACAACCCUUUGUGAACAUACCUAUAACUGUUGCUUCGGCGGGUAGGGUCUCCGCGACCCUCCCGGCCUCCCGCCUCCGGGCGGGUCGGCGCCCGCCGGAGGAUAACCAAACUCUGAUUUAACGACGUUUCUUCUGAGUGGUACAAGCAAAUAAUCAAAACUUUUAACAACGGAUCUCUUGGUUCUGGCAUCGAUGAAGAACGCAGCGAAAUGCGAUAAGUAAUGUGAAUUGCAGAAUUCAGUGAAUCAUCGAAUCUUUGAACGCACAUUGCGCCCGCCAGCAUUCUGGCGGGCAUGCCUGUUCGAGCGUCAUUUCAACCCUCAAGCUCUGCUUGGUGUUGGGGCCCUACAGCUGAUGUAGGCCCUCAAAGGUAGUGGCGGACCCUCCCGGAGCCUCCUUUGCGUAGUAACUUUACGUCUCGCACUGGGAUCCGGAGGGACUCUUGCCGUAAAACCCCCAAUUUUCCAAAGGUUGACCUCGGUCAGGUAGGAAC
rnacentral:rRNA from 1 species